ACAAUUAGCUGUUGGGACACUAGAUGUCUUAGUAGCGAAGCUAACGCGUGAAAUUGUCCGCCUGGGGAGUACGGUCGCAAGAUUAAAACUCAAAGGAAUUGACGGGGACCCGCACAAGCGGUGGAUGAUGUGGAUUAAUUCGAUGCAACGCGAAGAACCUUACCUGGUCUUGACGUGUACGGAAUCUCUUAGAGAUAGGAGAGUGCCUUCGGGAGCCGUAACACAGGUGCUGCAUGGCUGUCGUCAGCUCGUGUCGUGAGAUGUUGGGUUAAGUCCCGCAACGAGCGCAACCCUUGUCAUUAGUUGCCAUCAUUAAGUUGGGCACUCUAAUGAGACUGCCGGUGACAAACCGGAGGAAGGUGGGGAUGACGUCAAGUCCUCAUGGCCCUUAUGACCAGGGCUUCACACGUCAUACAAUGGUCGGUACAGAGGGUAGCGAAGCCGCGAGGUGAAGCCAAUCUCAGAAAGCCGAUCGUAGUCCGGAUUGCACUCUGCAACUCGAGUGCAUGAAGUCGGAAUCGCUAGUAAUCGCAGGUCAGCAUACUGCGGUGAAUACGUUCCCGGGUCU
rnacentral:rRNA from 1 species